UGCAAUGGAUUUUCUUUAUAUAAAAGCCCAACAGGUUUGUUACACUUCAUACCUUGUACAGCUUCUUUUAGUGUAUUCCUGAAAUACUACAAACUACAAAUAAAAAAUGGCCAGUAUCAAAAUGUUGUUCGUCCUCUUGGCAACAGUUUUAAUGUUUGUGGCUCCUGCUAUCAAUGCUUGUGAAGGAAAUGGAACUCCAUGUCAACCUGAUGGAACUACAGAUUGUUGCUCAGGAUUUUGUUAUAAACAAGUAGGAUGGGCAAUAGGAUAUUGCAAAGCUCGCUAAGUUUAAAAACCGAAUUUUGUUACAUUUUUUAUUUAAAUAAACUAUUUUUGAAUCUUGAUGUAAUUAUUAAAAUUAGUAACACGACAUUGGUUUUUGGACAAUAAUAAAAUAUUCAAUGUAAAUUGAAAUUUAAGUAAAAAAUAAAAAUUUUUGUAAACCUA